rnacentral:ncRNA from 1 species
GAAAAGACGAUGAUAAGGAAAAGUAGUAUAUACUAUAAUCCAAAGCGAGUCAGGGACGGUGCGAGCCUGAUGAGGCGGUAUAUAUGAAGAACACCUUGGAGUUGCUAACCGAAAUUGAAAAGUAUUUCAAGAGUAGACUUAGACGGGAAUCCGGCCUGUUACAAACCGGGAAAGUAUGUAAUACAUACGAGUAGAGUUGGUCUUUAUGACAAAUUGGGUGGUACCGCGAAGUUUAACCUUUCGUCCCUUUA